rnacentral:tRNA from 1 species
GUACUUCGUCUAGUGGCCUAGGACACCGCCCUUUCACGGCGGUAACAGGGGUUCGAGUCCCCUAGGGGACGCCA